rnacentral:lncRNA from 1 species
CCUCAUUUCAGAAACUGCAUUUGAAGGUUUUAAGUUAUUGUAGUAGUCCUCCGCGAGAGCUGUGCAUAAUCACAUUUCAAACUAUGCUUACCCUGCGCCCUGUACACGUCGUAUUCAUAUCUCACGCGGAACGGCU